rnacentral:tRNA from 1 species
GCUGUGGCUUGGUGGUAGAGCGUCUGCCUUGCAUGCAGAAGAUCCCAGGUUCAGUCCCCGGCAUCUCCA